CACAGAGAUAUUCAAGCUGUUAUAGCAUGAUGCCCUGUGUGAUGGCCACAGCCGUGGCCACACAGCCAUCUUAAAGGCGGUAACUUCAUACACUAACAUUUAUCUUAGUUCAUGCUGUUUUCCUUAAGAUUGGUUUCUAUAUAUUUUCAGACACAUUAUAUAAUUUGUUGUAAACAGUUAUUUAGUUUAAAUAAUGUACAAGACACUGGAUUUGGUUUACAUAUAUACUUUAUUAGUUUUGGAUUGUCUUUUUGCUAUAACGGUUUUCUUUUGAGCUUACCAGUGUUGCGGAUUCCACACCCUGGAGUGAGGCAUGCAGGCUGCUGGGACAAAGGGGUGGCGUCUGGAACAACAGCAGCUUUAAAGGGGUGGUGGCCAAAUUGGACUCUACCACUACUUAUGUCUGGGGGGGGUGUAGCUUUAUUUUUUCCCAAGAUAUUUGAGUUUUGAUUUGUGUUGUAUCUAGUACAUUUAUUCGGUUAAUGUUAAUUAAGAUUACAUUUCUUUUGGAAUAAGUGUUUAGUUGUUUUUUUUGUUAUUUGUAGUUUAUGUAUUAGUGUUAUUGUUAGUCUUCCCCUGGGUGUCAAACCUGGUUUGAUCAGCCAGUAUAUAAGUCCCUUUUGUUUCUCUUAUAGGAGGUCAGUUGUAUUUUUGAGUUUGUUAUGUUCAGAGCUUAAGUUCGGUUUGUUUGACCUCUUUUAAGGGCCCAAACUUUAUCUUUAUUUUGUUGUAAUGAUUUUGUGGGUAAAAUAAAAAAAACCUUUUUUGAAAUCCUCUUGUGACUCCUCUUGCCUAACUGCUGGGUCCCUGACAUAUGGUGGCAGUGGUGGGA